rnacentral:rRNA from 1 species
GGUGAACGCUAGCGGCAGGCCUAAUACAUGCAAGUCGAACGGGAUCUGAGGGUAGCUUGCUACCCGAUUUGAGAGUGGCGCACGGGUGCGUAACGCGUGAGCAACCUACCCAUAUCAGGGGGAUAGCCCGAAGAAAUUCGGAUUAACACCGCAUAAUAAUACGCUAACACAUGUUGAUGUAUUUAAAUAUCUAUAGGAUAUGGAUGGGCUCGCGUGACAUUAGCUAGUUGGUAAGGUAACGGCUUACCAAGGCGACGAUGUCUAGGGGCUCUGAGAGGAGAAUCCCCCACACUGGUACUGAGACACGGGCCAGAAUCCUACGGGAGGCAGCAGUAAGAAAUAUUGGUCAAUGGGCGCAAGCCUGAACCAGGCAUGCCGCGUGCAGGAUGACUGCCCUAUGGUUUGUAAACUGCUUUUGUUAGGGAAUAAACCUUCUUACGUGUAAGGAGCUGAAUGUACCUAAAGAAUAAGGAUCGGCUAACUCCGUGCCAGCAGCCGCCGUAA